GCUGCAGAAUAGAACGUAAGUUUAUUUGUAGUAAAAACCGUAGUCUUGUGGGGAAAACCCAUUGGCAAAUGUACAGUUGUUCCAUCAGGGGGUGCUGCUGGCUGUGGGACCCCCACAUCCCUGACUUGCAUGCAUUGUGCUGCAAAUGUUCACAGCUGAUCUCAGGCCCCCAGUCCUUAGUCGGUGUCCAGUCUCCUGCAGAGGACAUAAGCCAACUCUGGAAAGUGUCCCCAGGAGCAAGUAGUGCAUUAUCCACUCCGUUGGGGACAGUGGGACAGUGGGACAGUGUCCCUAACCUUGGCUCCUACUCAUCCAGGAAUGGGCAGCUGGAUGAGGGGAGAAAGGGCCCAAGAGUCUGUGUGUGUGUCUUCACAUAAGCUUCCACUCAGAACUCCACCGGGUGAAAAGAGGGUUGGCCAAGCAA
rnacentral:lncRNA from 1 species